rnacentral:rRNA from 1 species
GAUGAACGCUGGCGGCGUGCCUAAUACAUGCAAGUCGAGCGAACGGACGAGAAGCUUGCUUUUCUGAUGUUAGCGGCGGACGGGUGAGUAACACGUGGAUAACCUACCUAUAAGACUGGGAUAACUUCGGGAAACCGGAGCUAAUACCGGAUAAUAUUUUGAACCGCAUGGUUCAAAAGUGAAAGACGGUCUUGCUGUCACUUAUAGAUGGAUCCGCGCUGCAUUAGCUAGUUGGUAAGGUAACGGCUUACCAAGGCAACGAUGCAUAGCCGACCUGAGAGGGUGAUCGGCCACACUGGAACUGAGACACGGUCCAGACUCCUACGGGAGGCAGCAGUAGGGAAUCUUCCGCAAUGGGCGAAAGCCUGACGGAGCAACGCCGCGUGAGUGAUGAAGGUCUUCGGAUCGUAAAACUCUGUUAUUAGGGAAGAACAUAUGUGUAAGUAACUGUGCACAUCUUGACGGUACCUAAUCAGAAAGCCACGGCUAACUACGUGCCAGCAGCCGCGGUAAUACGUAGGUGGCAAGCGUUAUCCGGAAUUAUUGGGCGUAAAGCGCGCGUAGGCGGUUUUUUAAGUCUGAUGUGAAAGCCCACGGCUCAACCGUGGAGGGUCAUUGGAAACUGGAAAACUUGAGUGCAGAAGAGGAAAGUGGAAUUCCAUGUGUAGCGGUGAAAUGCGCAGAGAUAUGGAGGAACACCAGUGGCGAAGGCGACUUUCUGGUCUGUAACUGACGCUGAUGUGCGAAAGCGUGGGGAUCAAACAGGAUUAGAUACCCUGGUAGUCCACGCCGUAAACGAUGAGUGCUAAGUGUUAGGGGGUUUCCGCCCCUUAGUGCUGCAGCUAACGCAUUAAGCACUCCGCCUGGGGAGUACGACCGCAAGGUUGAAACUCAAAGGAAUUGGCGGGGACCCGCACAAGCGGUGGAGCAUGUGGUUUAAUUCGAAGCAACGCGAAGAACCUUACCAAAUCUUGACAUCCUUUGACAACUCUAGAGAUAGAGCCUUCCCCUUCGGGGGACAAAGUGACAGGUGGUGCAUGGUUGUCGUCAGCUCGUGUCGUGAGAUGUUGGGUUAAGUCCCGCAACGAGCGCAACCCUUAAGCUUAGUUGCCAUCAUUAAGUUGGGCACUCUAAGUUGACUGCCGGUGACAAACCGGAGGAAGGUGGGGAUGACGUCAAAUCAUCAUGCCCCUUAUGAUUUGGGCUACACACGUGCUACAAUGGACAAUACAAAGGGCAGCGAAACCGCGAGGUCAAGCAAAUCCCAUAAAGUUGUUCUCAGUUCGGAUUGUAGUCUGCAACUCGACUACAUGAAGCUGGAAUCGCUAGUAAUCGUAGAUCAGCAUGCUACGGUGAAUACGUUCCCGGGUCU